AUAAAGGAAAGAACUACAUGCAUUAUUUCAAGGAAUGAAGUUUACAAUAGGAAUUUAAAGAGAUAGCUAUAAACUUAGUUAAGUGAGGAUUAGUACAGACUGUGGUGCACAUUGAAUCCAGACUGCAGAUUUGUGGAUUUUCAUUUUAUACUAGGUAAACAACCACACUGCACCACUAAUGAUAUGCUGCCUGCUUUCUGGGUCCCCAUCCCAAGACAGCCACAGUCUGCAUUUCGUAGAUGCUGACAAGUCAGUGCAGCUGAAGCCAGCAUAUGCCAUGAGUGACUGGUGGACAUCAGACAAGUUCCAGUCAUCUCCAGUGAAGAAUGCAGAAAUCAUUUUGAGACAACUUCAAAGUCAACUGGCAUAUAUGUGGCACCAAACUGCACCCUUCAGAUGACUGAGAUUUUUUACAUAUGAGCACAUUCUUUCUUACAAGAGUUUGCAAAUGCUUGAGUGAUACUUGUAUUAAUGUAAUAAAAGAAGUGCAAGUCCAACCAA